AGUUUGCUAUCUUGGACACUAAGAAGACUACGAUACUGUUCAUCUAGGGUUACCACAUACAAACCUACCAGUUUCUUGCCUAGACUCGAAAUCCUACUGCUCCCACUUCCAUUCACAGUUGUAUUGCUUCAUCUCGUACUUGCUCUCGCUAGCUAUCAUCUAUCUCCAAUGGUACUUUCAAUCUCCAUCAACCUUUCCAAACAGCUGUGGCUUAUGCUUUACAGGUUGUGCGUCUAAACCCUACCUCCCCUCUAAUUUGAUCUGGAGCAUGAGCAGUUCGUUGCUAUAAAUUGAACCAUUUUGUACUUUCAUUUUCACUUUGUGGUCUCAAGCCAGUGCCCUCUCUUUCUCUUUGCUGUAUUUCUGUUGAUUUUAUUUUGUGUGAAUCUGUAUUGGAGAUAUGAGUGGGCAUCGCACAGGUAUAAUAUAAAUUUGGUAUGAUGAUUGAUUUUGGGAUUCCAUUACCUGAUAAAAGGACUUUAGAACUUAUCCAUGGCAAACUUUAGAAGUAAGGGGUUUUGUCUCAUGUUUUCUUCUUCACUGUUUCUUUUUAGUUUGGGAGUGUAUCACAGUGAAUGAUUUUUUUAGUAUCUUGAAUAAUUGCAAUGUUAUGCCAAGUUUUCCAUGCUAUUUUUUUAUUGAUUUGGGAUUGAAUGAUGGCAGGAAGCAAAGACAUGGUGUGUGUGCAAAAAGAGGUGUGGAUUUUUAUUCCUGUAAAUGCAGGUGAUUCAAGAGAGUGGGAGCACACACACACUUCUACAAAAUAGUAUGGAUGAGGGGAGGUGGGUAUAUUUAAUGAACUUUAGAGAUCAUUUUAUCAGGUGGUGAUAUAGGCUGCCUAACUGCAUCAAAUGAUCACCUGCUAAAUCAUCACCACUUUUUGAUGCAAUUAGGACGCCAAGUAAAAGUUAUGGUUUGAAAUGCAAUUCAUCCUUAAAAUGAAAUCUUAUGUGGCUAUAUUUAAUAGCAUGUGAGGUUAAUAUUUAACAGGGCAAGAGAGGGUUAUUAGAGUUUUUUCAAACUGCAACUAUGUUUAGAUUCCUUAUGUGAAUUAUUCACCAGCUUAACCAAAUAUGUAUAUAAGCAAGGAGCCAUUGACUCAGCCCAAGAAUUGUGGUACUGGUGACUAAUCUAAUUACAAUUCUUUAAUUCCAGUUGCUUCAUUCAAUUUAUAAUUUGUAAGUUUUUAUUAUUAGACAUUGGAUCUAUUGGAUUAGCGGCAUGGACUCUUUGAACAUGGCUUUGUCUUCUUUGUGACUGUGUUUUUUAGUCAUCUCUAUAUUGAAAUGCUCAUUGCAAUUGAUUGGUUUCCUAGGUUACUGAGGGAGCUAGGAUUAUAGGAGUGGUUGCCAUCCCAGAAAAAAUUGAAAUCGGUGAUGGCUUCUUUGCUUAAUAACGCCAUAUCAUACAUUAACUUACCUGUUAUUACAAAUGUCAAAGAUGUGUUGUAGAAAUAGAUAGUAGGGUGGUCAGAAAAUUGUACUAACUGCUGAAGUUGAGAAGUGUAAAAGAGGAGUUGGCUGUAAACCAAUACCACACACAUGGUUCAACUAACGAAUUCUUGAAUAAUUUAUCUUUCUUCCCUCUUUUUUUUUGAACUCUUUCUUCCCUCUUUUUAUUCCAACUGAGUUUAUGUUCAUUUGUAUUAAUUUGUAAUUUAAUUAUGACAUACAAGUUGUUUUUAGGGGUGUUAGGCUAGGAGUCACUAUUUCGGAUCAAUGAGGAUUGACUUCAUUUUAAGUCCUGGUAUAUUGAUCUUAGUAACUGUACCAGUUCGAUUUACUUUAUUUAAUAUUUACCCUCAACCUUGCCCUGAUGUUAUUAUUUAACUCAUGUCCUCAAGUUGGUUGGUUGUACAUUAGAAACAUAGCUUUUGCUAUUUUAUUAUUGGCUUUAAAGCUAUUGUACAUGAAAUGUUUUUAAAAUAUAUGGUGGAGUUUUAAUGUUGAUUUAUUUGUUUCACAAUGUAUACCUGGAUACUUUGUUUAUAAUUUUCCUAUCUCUUUAAAGUGGCUUUUAGAUUUUCCUAUUGAUCAAGAAAGUACAAGUAUGAAGUCUUUAUUUUAGACACAGGGUUUUCAAUAUUUUGUGGUGGGGUGGAAUUUCAACAUGUUAAGUGAUAUAUUGUAGUAGUUUCAUUAAUUUAUUGUUUGAGUGAAUAAACAAAUAUAAUUAAUUCAGUUUUUAAUUCUGAAUAAUAAGCAUAAGAUUGUUCAUUCAUAAUGGAAAGCGACAUUACUGCUAACUUAAUUCUUAAAGAUGGGUGGGUUUUUUGUGGCAUUGUAUUUUGGCUUGCUUUAGAAUUGUGCACUAUUUUUUCUUCACUAGGUUUUUGUCCCAAUGGGUUUUGCCUAGUAAGGUUUUAAUGAGACACUUUCUUAAGUAUGGUCAUUGUAAUGGGGUUUGUUUGUUUUUUUCAGAUUUGCUUGUAUUGAACUAGUGUUCCCCUUCUCAUGAGAGUUUUGCUCUCAUGUAGCUUUAUAUUUCAAUAAUAUCUUUAGCUUUCAAAAAAAAAAAAACUUAAUUCUUAAAGAUCUCUUUUUAUGUUGUUUUCAUGUGAUUUUUUGUUUGGCUGAAGUAUGUUCCAGGUAUUGCUUUCCAUGACAGUGCAUUAUGAGUUAGUUCUUUUUGGUUAUUUUAUAAAAAUAUUCACUAAUUGGAUAUUAAUAGCCUUGCAAGAAUUCUUAAAAUUACAGUUGCCUGCAUUAGCUUCCCACAAUAAUUAAUUUUCCCUUAUUGAAUGCAAAUCUUUUUGUUGCAUUUUCAUGGCUGGUAUACCCUCUUGUCAGAUUUGUCAGAAAAAAGCAUACAUUGUCACUACACAGGAUUUGCUUUUGAUGAGGCAGGUCUCUUGGAGUUAGAUCAGUAUUAUGUUGUCAUUGUUUCAUCUUUCAUAUUUUGUGUGACUUUUUCCUUCUAACUUAUUGUUAUUUCAAAAUCUUAGUCACAUUGCAUUAACUUUUUACUAUUUGUAGCUUAUAUAACAUGAUUUCUAGACAUUAUCCUCAUUUUAAAGCUAGAUGAACUUCUAUUUGGCUAUGUAUACCUGCCAACCUUACGAGGGGCCAAGCAUUGCUGCAGCGCGUUGGUUCUUCAACUCAAGACAUUGAUGGAAACCAACAACACAAAUCAAGAGGUUUUACAAUCCUUAAAACGAUAGUAUAACAAUGCUUAAAAACAAGAUGUUGACUUCAGGAGGAAUUUUGCCUCAAUAUGCAUAUGAUGUUCUAUCAACUCUUGCAGUAGGAUGUUAACACUAUAAAAUUGAUUAGAAUGGGCUAAAGAAUUAUUAGGCGGGUGGUAAGGAUGAGCCACUUGUUCUUAGGUAGGUGGAAACUGGAAAGCUUGAUAAUUGUAUAAAAUAGAGGCAUUAAUUAGUUCCUUGCACCAUUCCAAAACCUUUCUGGGAUUCUUUGAUAGUGAUAAUGUGUUAAGAUUUAGUUUGAUUAAAUUAAAGUUUAUGCAUAAUUAUACUAGCUGUAUUAUAUGAACAUUAUCUUUUAGUUGAAGUUGUUGGGAGGUUAGUGACCACUACGUUUAUUUAGUUGUACAAAAUGUUGUGUUCUCUAAGGUGUGUUUAAUCUUUCA